AACGUAUGAUGUAAAAAUAAUGAAUACUCGCAAAAUUUUUGGCGCGUGCAAAAUAUUAUCGCGAACGUCUCACGGAAAGUGUUAGAAGUUCGUCGUGACCUGCCAAGUACCACGUACAAUCCGUGUCGUGACGAUUUCAGUGCCGGGAACUUAUACUUGUGAUCCGUUGAGCCGAAGUUGCAGCCAUUUUCAUCCGCUUCGUGUUGGGUCCUCUCUGAAAUGAGUCGAGAGUGCAGCGAAUACGUCAUUAUCACAGCUUGCUUGCGGAGGAUCCUAGAAUACACCGGAGGUGUCUGCUGCCGCGAGAUGGUAGAAGUGGAGGACGCGCCGCCGGGAGGUC